rnacentral:lncRNA from 1 species
CCUUAGUAUUCGUUUUGGUUUUCUUAAACAGCUUGUACUUUUUGUUUCUUUCUUGUGUUGCAGGACUGAUUCCUUAUCCAACAUCACUUUCUGGACUACCUAGAAUCCAACUAUCAUGUAAAUGAUUAUUACUCUUCAAGAAGAAAUCCACUAACAGCAUCCUUUUCAGAAAGUGAAUCCAAGCACCUUGGAGAUAAGAAGAGAGAAGAGAAAGGGAGCUCCCAGUAGAAGAACGGUCCUGAAAAAAAAAAAUUAUAGCCCCAAACCUACAUACCAUAUUCAGCCAAAUAAAAGUCUUAUAAGUGUCAAAAU